AGAGAGGGAGACCAAGGGAGAGAGCGCCGAGAGGGAGAAUGUGUCUGCGCACAGCCAAAAUUGAUCAGAAAAGGGGGGUAAAGUAGGACACGGGCUUCGAAGGAGGGAAACGAAAGAAGGGAGCGUCAACAUUCUCCCUCUCCAACGUUUCUCCCCCGCGUUUUUCGGGCGAAUCGGAGGGGCGGGCGCUGCGCUGGGGAAAGUUUGUGCCACCCGCCUUUCGCAGCCGGCUACGGGGAGAGGAGGAGGAGAGGGAGGGUCGAGCUCGGAGGCUGUGGCCGCAAGGAUGACUGAGCCGGCGCAGGGCUUACCUCGCAGUCCUCGUACUUGAUAUUAUCCGUCAGUUUCCAAAGCAUUUUCAUGGAUCGCGGUGAACCAAUAUGUCCCUCUCCGCCUCGCACCCAAGUGGAGCUACUCUCUGGCUCUUUACCAACAGCCUAAUCGCCUCAUUAGCAUAUCAACAAUAGUCCAAUUGCUCGCCAGUACUACAAUCUGCCGCUGGCCGGUCUGAUCCAGGUAUAAAGGCCUCUCCAAGCCGGGAACUUACUCCGAGAGCGCACGCUUGCUUGCUAGCUAACUAGACCUUCCCGGAGCUCCGCUGCGCGCCCCUGCCCCCAGCGUCCCCCAACCCAAUUCCACGCCACUCCCUUCCCCCCUCUCUCUCUCCGCUGCCUUUUUGCCAGAAAAGCCCUCUGCUUAAGCCAAGCACUGCGCAAGGUCCGAGCGGCCACGCCUGGGGCCUGGCUUCUAGCAUUUCUUCCCUACCCCUGCUGCCACUAUCCGAGCUGCCCUUUUGGCCCCGUGCAAUUUUAUUAGAAAUCAUUAUCCCUUUCGCAAUUAAACAUAACCGCCAAACCAAGACCGGCGAAGUCACUCCAGGAUUUUUGCCCAACAAGAAAUCGCCUCCGCUUACAGCAGCCACCCCCUCGGGCCCCAGUGCCUUGGGAGUUUUAUUGGCUUUGCGCUUUCCCCCAGGUUGGAGAUUCUGCCAAACGGCUUCGGUGGCUCGGCUGAGGUUUGCGAUCCCUUAAUUGCGGCGUGUAAAAUAAAAGUUGUAUCCUGACGAGGUUACUAUGACAGUUCCAGGGGUUAAGUGAUUUUCCUACCAUUUGUAUGAAGCUAGGCCAACUGACAAUUCAACUUGGUUUUCGGGCUAAGGUUUUCUGGGUGGAUAGGAAUACAGAACUCCCGUGGAGACGCACAACCUCUUUUGGAGUUGAGUUGCAAUAGGCACAUGUGUGUGUUUGCAAGCCUAGAUACCGUCUCAUACAUGCAUCAAAAUAAAUCACUGGGAACC